CAUAAAGGAAAUUGAUUUUUAUUUUCAAAGUCAAUGGUGAGUAAAUGAACAAUGGUUGCCAGGCAACCUGUGAGCAGGGAUUGAGUAGAGACUAAAGCAAACAGCAGCCUCCACCCCCCAUCCCAGGAACCCAGAGCCUCUCAGGCCUUGUGCUUCCAGGUUACCCUGAUGGGCAGGACACACUCCCAUCACCUGGGACUCCUGGCACCCUGGGGGAGGGCUGUGCCUUCAGGACUCGCCUUAGACCGGGAGGAGCCAUGGAAGGAUUUUUCUGGAGAGGAGGAGUGGAGGUAAAUCUACAAUUCAGCACCUCUCCCUCCACACAGUGGACGGAUUGAGGGGUGAUUGAUUGGCAGGGGAGGUGCUCUAGUUUCCGUCAGGAAAGGAAACCCU
rnacentral:lncRNA from 1 species